GCCUAGAUGUAAACCUUUAUUUACACAACCAUCGCCCGGAUACUACAAGCCACGCUUAAAAACCAAGGGACUUGACGGUAUCUCAUACCCCACUAGAGGAGCCUGUCGCACAAUCGAUAACCCCCGCUAAACCUCACCGCUCUUAGCUUAUUCAGCCUGUAUACUUCCGUCGCAGCCUAUCAUAUGAAUGAAUCUUAAUAGGCCAAAUGAUUCUCGUCAAUACGUCAGGUCAAAGUGCAGCCAAUAGAACGGAAGCAGAUGGGCUACAUUUUCUAAAUUAGACUAUACGAAAGAUUAAAUGAAACAAAAUCAGAAGGUGGAUUUAGUAGUAAGGGCAAAACAGAGAGCUCCCCUUAAUACAGGCACUGGGAUGUGUACAAACCGCCCGUCACCCUCUUCAAAUUUAAAUAAUAGUAUUUAACACCAUUAAAACUACAGAAGGGGCAAGUCGUAACAUGGUAAGUGUACCGGAAGGUGCUCUUGGAAA
rnacentral:rRNA from 1 species